UGUCCUACGGGACGCAGCAGUCGGGAAUAUUGCGCAAUGGAGGAAACUCUGACGCAGUGACGCCGCGUGCAGGAAGAAGGUUUUCGGAUUAUAAACUGCUUUAGACAGGGAAGAUAAUGACAGUACCUGUAGAACAAGCUCCGGCUAACUACGUGCCAGCAGCCGCGGUAAUACGUAGGGAGCAAGCGUUAUCCGGAUUUAUUGGGUGUAAAGGGUGCGUAGACGGGAAGACAAGUUGGUUGUGAAAUCCCUCGGCUUAACUGAGGAACUGCAACCAAAACUAUCUUUCUUGA
rnacentral:rRNA from 1 species